UUGAGUGUUACAACUCCCAAACCCUAUGUGAACCAUACCUAUCGUUGCUUCGGCGGGAAUGCCCCGGCGUCUUCUGCACCGGACACAGGCGCCCGCCGAAAGAUUAAAACUCUUGAUUUUCCAGUGGUAUUUUCUCAGAGUUAUACAAACAAUAAAAUCA
rnacentral:misc_RNA from 1 species